rnacentral:lncRNA from 1 species
GUGCUGUAUUCAGCUGACAUGAUGAUGCUGCUCAUCUUCAUCUCCAGCUGUGUGGGUGGAGCAGCAGCAGAGGUGGAGGCUGAGGAUGGUGUGGAUGAUCAGUCUGUGUUUCUCAGUGUGAUGCAGAGCUGCUUCUUACUGAACUCGACCCUGCAGAGCACUGAGGGCGUCCUGUCCAGCUUCAGGACCACCUGGCAGGAGUUGGUGGAGGACCUGGGUUUCUGCUGGUCAUCGCCCUCCUCUCCCUGGGCCUCGCCUACUACGUCAGCAGAGUCCUGCCUUUCUCAGGGUGGAGAGGAGGCAGGAAAAUAAAUUAAGCUCUUUAUCUAGAACAAAAACUCUGUCUGUGUGUCUCAGUACGAUGGAGAGCUGCUCCUUACUGAACCCGACCCUGCAGAGGACUGAGGGCGUCCUGUCCAGCUUCAGGACCACCUGGCAGGAGUUUGUGGAGGACCUGGGCUUCUGGAGGGUCCUGCUGCUGUUGGUGGUCAUCGCCCUCCUCUCCCUGGGCAUCGCCUACCACGUCAGCAGAGUCCUGCCUUUCUCAGGGUGGAGAGGAGGCAGGAAAAUAGAUGAAGAUCUUUAUCUAGAACAAAAACUCUGGUAUUUAUUUGUUGUGCAAAUCUGAUCAUUUUAUUGGAAUAUGAACAUCAUGUGAUGCUGCCAGCGCAAAGAAGAGAGGACGGUGACUCGGAGACACCGACAGCUUCAUGUGUGACCUAACACCUUUACAACCACUCACUGAUAAAGUCAUUUCCUCUUCCUCACACUUGUCAUGUCAUCCCCGUUUGCUCUGUUACAAGGUGUAUAUUACUGAUGUUUUGUAUCUUUUCAUUGUUUUCUCCUCGCUUUUUAUGGAUUCAAAUGUUCUUUUAGAAUGAAUUUUUCCCCCCGCUGUCUUUAUUUCACACAAAUACCUGCAGCCUUUCUGACUGGAAACAGUUUUGUCAGGAUAUCUUGAUGUUCUCUGUUCAAAGGUUUUCAGUGUUUAUUCCAUCAAACAUUUCAAGUCAUUUAAUGUGCAAAUUGAAUAAAAUCAUGAAUGACUGUAAUCAUCAUCAGGUCACUUUAUUAUCCACUCAAAACUUUAUUGGCACACAGCAGCUUCCCUGAGCGUUUUACAAAAAGCAAAGUAAACAUAGUGAAGACUGUAAAUCUGUACAAACAGGCAGGACAAUAUACAAACUUUGUUACUGAAGAGAUCUCAUUCAUCCAUCUUGAAGCUAAAUUAUAUGCCGAUUAUGUAAGCAGAUGAUUUACAGGCAUUACUUGAUUGAUUGGAAGACAAAAUAAUAGAGACAAUCUCAAACAUUGUAACAGCAGUCAGAUUCAGCAGAAGGAAAACGGGGGAUUUCUAAACCUGAGAAAGUGGAGUUGCACAGUGGUACCGUCAUAAAGGUG